UACGUAGGUGGCAAGCGUUGUCCGGAAUUAUUGGGCGUAAAGCGCGCGCAGGCGGCCUUUUAAGUCUGAUGUGAAAGCCCACGGCUCAACCGUGGAAGGUCAUUGGAAACUGAAAGGCUUGAGUACAGAAGAGGAAUGCGGAAUUCCACGUGUAGCGGUGAAAUGCGUAGAGAUGUGGAGGAACACCAGUGGCGAAGGCGGCUUUCUGGUCUGUAACUGACGCUGAGGCGCGAAAGCGUGGGGAGCAAACAGG
rnacentral:rRNA from 1 species